rnacentral:rRNA from 1 species
AAAACAUGUCUUUUUGAAAAUAAUAUAAAGUCUAAUCUGCCCACUGAUUAUAAAUUAAAGGGCUGCAGUAUAUUGACUGUACAAAGGUAGCAUAAUCAUUAGUCAUUUAAUUGAUGACUUGUAUGAAAGAUUGAAUGAGAUAUAUACUGUCUCUAAUUUAAUUAUAAAAUUUAAUUUUUUUAUUAAAAAGUUAAGAUAUUUUAAAAAGACGAGAAGACCCUAUAGAGUUUAAUUGAUUAUUAAUUUGAUUUUAUUUUGAAUAAUAAUAAUAAUAAUAAUUAAAUUUAAUAGUUUAUUUUAUUGGGGUGAUAAAAAAAUAAAUAAAACUUUUUUUAAUAGAAAACAUUUAUAAGUGAAUAAAUGAUCCAAUAAUAUUGAUUAUAAGAAAAAAUUACCUUAGGGAUAACAGCGUAAUUUUUUUUUUUAGUUCAAAUAAGAAAAAAAGUUUGCGACCUCGAUGUUGGAUUAAGAUAAAAUUUAAAUGUAGAAGUUUAAAAUUUUGAUCUGUUCGAUCAUUAAAAUCUUACAUGAUCU